rnacentral:rRNA from 1 species
UACAGAGGUCCCAAGCGUUGUUCGGAUUCAUUGGGCGUAAAGGGUGCGCAGGCCGCGCGGGCAGUCAAAUGUGUAAUUCAGGGGCUCAACCCCUGCACUGCGCUUGAUACUUCCGCGCUCGAGCUUUGGAAAGGAGUCUGGAAUUCUCGGUGUAGCAGUGAAAUGCGUGGAUAUCGAGAAGAACACUUAGGGCGAAGGCAAGACUCUGGACAAAUGCUGACGCUCAUGCACGAAGGCUAGGGUAGCGAACGGG